rnacentral:rRNA from 1 species
CCUACGGGAGGCAGCAGUGGGGAAUAUUGCACAAUGGGGGAAACCCUGAUGCAGCGACGCCGCGUGAGUGAAGAAGUAAUUCGUUACGUAAAACUCUAUCAGCAGGGAAGAAAUACUGACCUUACGGUCAGCAGACGGUACCUGAGUAGGAAGCCCCGGCUAACUACGUGCCAGCAGCCGCGGUAUUACAGAGGGGGCAAGCGUUAUCCGGAUUUACUGGGGGUAAAGGGAGCGUAGACGGUGCGCGAAGUCUGGAGUGAAAUGCCUCAGCUUAAAUGCGGAACUGCUGUGGAAACUGGCGAACUAGAGUGCGGGAGGGGUAAGCGGAAUUCCUAGUGUAGCGGUGAAAUGCGGAGAUAUUAGGAGGAACACCGGUGGCGAAGGCGGCUUACUGGACCGUAACUGACGUUGAGGCUCGAAAGCGUGGGGAGCAAACAGGAUUAGAUACCCGAGUAGUC